GCGCUCUUGGCGUAGUGGUAGCGCGUGUCUCUCCUACUUACAUGUGUUCGAUGCGAACGUGCAGGAUUUCUGUAAGACGAGGUCGUGGGUUCGACCCCCACAGGGCGCU
rnacentral:tRNA from 1 species